AACGAACGCUGGCGGCAUGCCUAACACAUGCAAGUCGAACGAUCCCUUCGGGGAUAGUGGCGCACGGGUGCGUAACGCGUGGGAACCUGCCCUUAGGUUCGGAAUAACUCAGAGAAAUUUGAGCUAAUACCGGAUAAUGUCUUCGGACCAAAGAUUUAUCGCCUUUGGAUGGGCCCGCGUUGGAUUAGCUAGUUGGUGGGGUAAAGGCCUACCAAGGCGACGAUCCAUAGCUGGUCUGAGAGGAUGAUCAGCCACACUGGGACUGAGACACGGCCCAGACUCCUACGGGAGGCAGCAGUGGGGAAUAUUGGACAAUGGGCGAAAGCCUGAUCCAGCAAUGCCGCGGGAGUGAUGAAGGCCUUAGGGUUGUAAAGCUCUUUUACCCGGGAUGAUAAUGACAGUACCGGGAGAAUAAGCCCCGGCUAACUCCGU
rnacentral:rRNA from 1 species